rnacentral:rRNA from 1 species
AGUCACUGACAUUAGAUACCCCUGUAGUCCCAGCCGUAAACGAUGUGCGUUAGGUGUGUCGGUAACCACGCGUUACUGAUGCGCCGAAGAGAAAUCGUGAAACGCACCACCUGGGAAGUACGGUCGCAAGGCUGAAACUUAAAGGAAUUGGCGGGGAGCACCACAACAGGUGGAGCCUGCGGUUUAAUUGGAUUCAACGCCGGACAUCUCACCGGAUAAGACAGCUGAAUGAUUGUCAAUCUGAAGGUUUUACAUGACUAGCUG